rnacentral:rRNA from 1 species
UACAGAGGGUGCGAGCGUUGAUCGGAUUUACUGGGCGUAAAGCGUGCGUAGGUGGUUUGAUAAGUCGGUUGUGAAAGCCCCGGGCUCAACCUGGGAAUUGCGGCCGAUACUGUCAGACUAGAAAACGGUAGAGGGAGGUGGAACUCCAGGUGUAGCGGUGAAAUGCGUAGAUAUCUGGAAGAACACCGAUGGCGAAGGCAGCCUCCUGGGCUGGUUUUGACACUGAGGCGCGAAAGCGUGGGUAGCAAACAGG